GGAAGAUGGCGGACGAGGAGAAGCUGCCGCCCGGCUGGGAGAAGCGCAUGAGCCGCAGCUCAGAGUAAACACUCAGGAAGCGUUACCCACUGCUGCCAUUCCCAGAGAUGCAAAAGGCCGAGUGUACUACUUCAACCACAUCACUAACGCCAGCCAGUGGGAGCGGCCCAGCGGCAACAGCAGCAGUGGUGGCAAAAACGGGCAGGGGGAGCCUGCCAGGGUCCGCUGCUCACACCUGCUGGUGAAGCACAGCCAGUCAAGGCGGCCCUCGUCCUGGCGGCAGGAGAAGAUCACCCGGACCAAGGAGGAGGCCCUGGAGCUGAUCAACGGCUACAUCCAGAAGAUCAAGUCGGGAGAGGAGGACUUUGAGUCUCUGGCCUCACAAUUCAGCGACUGCAGCUCAGCCAAGGCCAGGGGAGACCUGGGUGCCUUCAGCAGAGGUCAGAUGCAGAAGCCAUUUGAAGACGCCUCGUUUGCGCUGCGGACGGGAGAGAUGAGCGGGCCCGUGUUCACGGAUUCCGGCAUCCACAUCAUCCUCCGCACUGAGUGAGGGUGCUGGAGGCAGACUCGAGGGCCAAAUUGUUUCUAGUUAGGCCACGCUCCUCUGAUCAUUCGCAAAGGCGAACACUCGUGCGGCCCAGCCAUGGGCCCUCUGAGCAACUGUGCAGCACCCUUUCACCCCCAAUUAAACCCAGAACCACU
rnacentral:sRNA from 1 species